GUCCUGGUGACCCAAUGGAUAAGGUGUCGGUUUCCUGAGCCGAAGAGUGUGGGUCCAAGUCCUUCCCAGGACG
rnacentral:tRNA from 1 species